rnacentral:rRNA from 1 species
AUGAUCGCAGAAGCCCUGGCAGUUCGAGACAGCGUCGUCUUCGCAAAUCUCAGAGGAUUCUUGCAUGUGGUGUUGGAAACUGACAGCCUGGAGGUGGUUAACCUCUGGAACACUCGCCUCAACAGUCGUUCAGUUGUGGCACCAACUCUUCUAGAAAUUGAUGAGCUUUCUGCUAGUUUUCAUUCUUUUGUAAUUCAACGUGUAAGUAGAUCAGCUAAUGGUUCAGCUCACCUUUGUGCAAAACGUGCUUGCAUGGUGACUGCUACCGAAAGCUGGCUUACGGAAACUCCCAGCUUCCUGAUCAGCAGCCUUCUAGCUGACUGUCCAGCGAAUGUGUUCGUUUGA